rnacentral:rRNA from 1 species
AUUGAACGCUGGCGGCAUGCCUAACACAUGCAAGUCGAACGGUAACAGGCCCUUCGGGUGCUGACGAGUGGCGGAUGGGUGAGUAAUACUUAGGAAUCUACCCUGUAGUGGGGGACGAACCCGGGGAAACUCGGGCUAAUACCGCAUACGCUCUACGGAGGAAAGCGGGGGACCGGCAAGGCCUCGCGCUAUUGGAUGAGCCUAAGCCCGAUUAGCUAGUUGGUGGGGUAAUAGCCUACCAAGGCAAUGAUCGGUAGCUGGUCUGAGAGGACGACCAAGCCACACUGGGACUGAGACACGGCCCAGACUCCUACGGGA